rnacentral:rRNA from 1 species
UACGAAGGGGGCUAGCGUUGCUCGGAAUACUGGGCGUAAAGGGCGCGUAGGCGGCUUAGUUAGUCAGGCGUGAAAUUCCUGGGCUCAACCUGGGGACUGCGCUUGAUACGGCUAGGCUAGAGGAUGGAAGAGGGUCGCGGAAUUCCCAGUGUAGAGGUGAAAUUCGUAGAUAUUGGGAAGAACACCGGUGGCGAAGGCGGCGACCUGGUCCAUUACUGACGCUGAGGCGCGACAGCGUGGGGGAGCAAACAGG